CAGCAGCCGCGGUAAAACGUAGGUCCCGAGCGUUGUCCGGAUUUAUUGGGCGUAAAGGGAGCGCAGGCGGUCAGGAAAGUCUGGAGUAAAAGGCUAUGGCUCAACCAUAGUGUGCUCUGGAAACUGUCUGACUUGAGUGCAGAAGGGGAGAGUGGAAUUCCAUGUGUAGCGGUGAAAUGCGUAGAUAUAUGGAGGAACACCAGUGGCGAAGGCGACUCUCUGGUCUGUAACUGACGCUGAGGAGCGAAAGCGUGGGGAGCGAACAGGAUUAGAUACCCCGGUAGUCCCUGUCUCUUAUACC
rnacentral:rRNA from 1 species